rnacentral:rRNA from 1 species
CGUCUAUAUACGUAUAGCAUAUCAAUAAGCGGAGGAAAAGAACUAACAAGGAUUCCCUUAGUAACGGCGAGUGAAGCGGGAAGAGCUCAAAUUUGAAAUCUUCAAGGUUCUACCUUGACGAAUUGUAGUUUAAAGAAGUGUUUUCUGUUAGAGGAGUGGCAAAAGUUCUUUGGAAUAGGACAUCAUAGAGGGUGAGAAUCCCGUAUUUGGUCAUUCUUUCUAGCUGUGUGAUACACUUUCAAAGAGUCGGAUUGUUUGGGAAUGCAGUCCAAAAUGGGUGGUAAAUUUCAUCUAAAGCUAAAUAUUGGCGAGAGACCGAUAGCGAACAAGUACCGUGAGGGAAAGAUGAAAAGAACUUUGAAAAGAGAGUUAAACAGUACGUGAAAUUGUCAAAAGGGAAGCGUUUGACACCAGUGUUGUUUUUCCGAAAAUCAAUUAAGAGUGGCUUGAUUUUGUGUUGUAUUGACCUUAUCAGCUUUCUUCACUCUUUUUCGAGUCUUUCUUAAUGCACUUUUCGGUUGACAAGUCAACAUCAAUUUCUUUUGUUGUAAAAGGGUAUUUGGAAGGUGGCUUUCUUUUCGGAGAAAGUGUUUAUAGCCUUAUACCUCUACAAUCGGAGAGAUUGAGGUCUGCAGCGUAGAUCCUUCGGGGCUAGAUACACUUGUGCUAAGUUAUAGCUUUUCAUAGACAACUUGUUGACUAUGUUUAGUCAUGUAGCUUACCCGCUUGUGCUAUUUUACCUACGCUUAGGAUGUUGAGUCAUCACACAUCUCU